rnacentral:lncRNA from 1 species
CAGAUGACAAGAACACAAGUAAUAUCUUCUUACCAUCAGUGUUACUGACACCACAAGCUGAGAAAAAAAGGCUUGCAGGCAGCUCAGUGUCUCCACCCAUCCUCACAUUUAUAUAGUGUUUUGUCAGUAAGAGCUCACUGUCUUCAUGAUGAUCAUCAUCUCUCUGCUCCUGCUGGCCUCUCUGCUGCCACACCUGACCUUCACCGCUCGUGUGAAUGUGGGUAUAGUGAAUGGCAAAGAAGCAAAACCCCACUCCAGACCUUACAUGGUUUCUCUUCAGAAUCAUUUUAAACAUACCUGUGGUGGAUUCCUCAUCUCUGAUGAGUUUGUCAUGACUGCUGCUCAUUGCUGGAAAGGGUAAGAGUUUUAAUUUUUUUUUGGUUUGUUUUUCAGUCUAAACGGCAAUGUUGAGUUAAAACUGACAAAAUGACUGGAGUACAACAAGACAAUGUUUUGGAUUACAUAAAUACACAUUUCUCUUUCAACAGAUAUCCAGAGUUCUGACGGUUGUGGUUUGGUGCUCAUGACUUCAGGAAGAGUGAGGAUUCAUACCGUGUCGAAGUGAAGUCUUACAUCUCACAUCCACACUAUACAUUCUGUUCGCGUCAGAAUGACAUCAUGCUUUUGAGGCUACAGGAAAAGGUCAAACCAAAUAACUAUGUUAACUGGAUAUCAUUACCGAAGGAAGGAGAUGUUAGUGGAGGCACUCUCUGUAGUGUUGCAGGCUGGGGAAGAAAGGAGAUUAAUGACAUAUUGAGCAAUCGGCUACUGGAGGCAAACACGACUACAGAAAACCACGAAGAGUGUCAACGUAAAUGGGAAUCCAAGUUUUGGCCUCGCAGAUGAUCUGUGCACAUGGUCGUGGAGGAUCCUGCAAGAGGAGAUUCAGGAGGUCCUUUGGUUUGUGGAAACACUGCAGUUGGUGUGACAUGUUUUGGGUCCAGAAUAAAAUGCAAUUCAGCUGUGCAUCCUAAUGUCUAUACUAAGAUUUCAGCAUAUCUUCCAUGGAUUCACCAAAUUAUUAGAAAUAUUAAGUGAAUUAAUAAAAAAUUAAAGGAAGAUUUUAUUUUUUUUUUAAUUAUUGUGAAAACUCUCAAUAAAAAUGUCAAAUGGCAAUCAAUCAGUUGAAGUGUCCUCAUUGUCACAAUCAUAUAUAAAAAUGUCCAAGAAGUCCAAAGUUAUUUCAAAUUAGUUCACUUGGUUGCCAUCUUGGUGAUGCUAUUUCCAGUCGAAACAAAACAAAAU